rnacentral:rRNA from 1 species
GACGAACGCUGGCGGCGUGCUUAACACAUGCAAGUCGAACGGUAAGGCUCCAGCUUGCUGGGGUACACGAGUGGCGAACGGGUGAGUAACACGUGGGUGACCUGCCCUGCACUUCGGGAUAAGCCUGGGAAACUGGGUCUAAUACCGGAUAGGACCGCACCGUGAGGGUGUGGUGGAAAGUUUUUUCGGUGUGGGAUGGGCCCGCGGCCUAUCAGCUUGUUGGUGGGGUAAUGGCCUACCAAGGCGGCGACGGGUAGCCGGCCUGAGAGGGUGGACGGCCACAUUGGGACUGAGACACGGCCCAAACUCCUACGGGAGGCAGCAGUGGGGAAUAUUGCACAAUGGGCGGAAGCCUGAUGCAGCGACGCCGCGUGGGGGAUGACGGCCUUCGGGUUGUAAACUCCUUUCACCAUCGACGAAGGGUUUCUGACGGUAGAUGGAGAAGAAGCACCGGCUAACUACGUGCCAGCAGCCGCGGUAAUACGUAGGGUGCGAGCGUUGUCCGGAAUUACUGGGCGUAAAGAGCUCGUAGGUGGUUUGUCGCGUCGUCUGUGAAAUUCCGGGGCUUAACUCCGGGCGUGCAGGCGAUACGGGCAUAACUUGAGUACUGUAGGGGAGACUGGAAUUCCUGGUGUAGCGGUGAAAUGCGCAGAUAUCAGGAGGAACACCGGUGGCGAAGGCGGGUCUCUGGGCAGUAACUGACGCUGAGGAGCGAAAGCAUGGGGAGCGAACAGGAUUAGAUACCCUGGUAGUCCAUGCCGUAAACGGUGGGCGCUAGGUGUGGGUUUCCUUCCACGGGAUCCGUGCCGUAGCUAACGCAUUAAGCGCCCCGCCUGGGGAGUACGGCCGCAAGGCUAAAACUCAAAGGAAUUGACGGGGGCCCGCACAAGCGGCGGAGCAUGUGGAUUAAUUCGAUGCAACGCGAAGAACCUUACCUGGGCUUGACAUAUACAGGAUCGCGCCAGAGAUGGUGUUUCCCUUGUGGCUUGUAUACAGGUGGUGCAUGGUUGUCGUCAGCUCGUGUCGUGAGAUGUUGGGUUAAGUCCCGCAACGAGCGCAACCCUUGUCUUAUGUUGCCAGCACGUUGUGGUGGGGACUCGUAAGAAACUGCCGGGGUUAACUCGGAGGAAGGUGGGGAUGACGUCAAAUCAUCAUGCCCCUUAUGUCCAGGGCUUCACACAUGCUACAAUGGUCGGUACAGUGGGUUGCCAGUCCGUGAGGGCGAGCUAAUCCCGCAAAGCCGGUCUCAGUUCGGAUCGGGGUCUGCAACUCGACCCCGUGAAGUCGGAGUCGCUAGUAAUCGCAGAUCAGCAACGCUGCGGUGAAUACGUUCCCGGGCCU